rnacentral:sRNA from 1 species
ACUACUCUCGCUUUUCUAAAUUGAUACAGGCUCUAACUGUAUUCUAAAUACUUAUCCUUAGAUCCAUAAAUAAAUAAAUACGACUCUCCCCACCAAAAGCUGCUUUUAGCAGCUAAAGAGACUGCUUGCAGACACAAUUAGUCAAACAGCCCCAACUGAGACAUUUACAAUAUGAUUCCUACAUCUAAAGCUCAGGGAACAUCACAGAAGACAGAGCUUAAGAGCCUCAGCCCCUGAAAGAACACCAGGAGACAGUGUCUUCUAGACAUGUCAGGGGAAUUGCACCCGUGACUCUUAACCAUAUGGGUACUCACACAAGACCUGCACAGGACCAAACUAGUUGGCAUGCCAACAAAGAUGAGGAAGUAUUUAACAAGGCCAUAACACUAGGUGAAGAGCUACAGACAAGCAAUGGCUCUUGAGAGAGGAAGAAUCAGUUUUCUUCUGGGAAACACCCCUGAAUGGUUUGCACUUUGCCAUAGUCAGCCUGGAAGAUAAGUACAUAAUAGCAUCACUAACUGGGCUCAGUAAGUAUGCUUAAUAGUAUAUGUAUGUACACACACACACACACACACACACACACAUGCACACACACAUGCACACACACACACACACAAAGUAGAAAAGGAAAUUUCUUAGACAUAAAUUUAAGAAGGGGUGAUAGGAAGGAAGGAGGAAUUGGAGAAUGGUUUGUAAACUAUAUAAUUUAGUACUCAUGCAUGAAGUUUCAAAAAAAUUAAAGUUAAAGAAUAAAGUUAUUUCUGUGUAUGAAAUACAAUCUUACACAGACUCUGUCACUUGUUCAACUCCCAAUUGUAUAUAUUUGCAUAACCUUGGCGUAGGAAAAGCUUUUGGGAGCCAGUGGAUCCUACCACCUUUAGGUCAUAGACAGUAUUCAUGAGACCCCUUCAGAUCAAAUGAUCCUCCAAAGUCCAAAACUACACCAGCAGAAGAACUGGACCCAACGUCCAAAGUUUGGAAAGGUAUGUGGUUAAAAAGUCCACAUCUAAUAGUAACCCUGCUUCUUUGCAUGGUCCUCUCAACACUAGGAAUGGACUUGCUAGAAUAGCCAUUUUUUUAAUAAAUAAAACCCACAAUGCCAGUAAAUUAUGUGCCUAAGUAAUCCAAGUGUCCAAUCUAAUAGGAAUUGAUUAAAUAGAUCUAUAAAGCUAUAAAGGAUUCCGUCUUUUCCGUGACAUAAAAUAAUACCUAGGUCGUGUUGAUUAAAAACAAGAAAAUCAAAGAUGAAGGAAAGUCCCACCCAUGAAAGAUAUUUUACCCCACGUGCACUGAGGUGUACCAAUUGCCUUCACACUUUCAGGCUGUCUUUUUUGCACCCUCCUUCACUGCGCUUAGUAGGAGUUUUGUCUCCGAGCCCAGCUAACUUACCGAAAAGCUUGGCCAUCAUCCACUAGCUGGGUGAUCUCCGUGUCUCCCAUGUGAAACAUUCAGAGACAACCAGCACGUCCCUCAUCAGGGCCUGGGAGCAUCCCCUGAGACCUGCUAAGGGUGUCCCGGACAGUGCUCACUGCAGGUACACAACCGAUGGACACGUCCCGUGACACUCAUCUCUGAAAACCUAGAGGAACUCAAACCUCAUGGCUUGAGUUGACUUUACUUUGGCUGUUUUAUUUCAUUAAAAUUUAUCUCGUUAAAAAAAAAACAAAAAACAAAAAACAACAACAAAAAAAAAACCACUAUGAAUCAUUCUGCUCAUUUCUCAUCCUGAAGUAAAGUGGAAAAAAAAAAACCCUAGUGUUUUUCCUUUUUUUUUUUUUAAAGUAGUGCUUACCCUAGUAAUCUCUGGUAAUAUUAGACAUUGCAAUGUUCAGUGUUGCUUUCUAACGAGAAUUCAUUAGCUCGUAAACUGCUCUUCUGAGAAGUUACUAUUAAUUGAGUCACUCCCAGGAAAGUCGGUUGUAUGUAUCAGGUGUAACUGAAGGCACGCACGGCCCCGUGAGAUACCACAGCACACUACACCUUCUUCUCAGGGACCCUCUCUCCUUAUUCCUGUGGGAGGGCGAUCAAGCAGGGCCUCGCAGAGAAGACUAAGCCUUUUCCGAGUUAUGUAGCCAUUUUCAAGGUCAGCCAGACUUUUCUCUAAGGUCCACCCGAGUACACUCUGAGGUCUAAGGACACCACUUAGUCUAUUUCCACAGACCACAAACCUGAAACAUUUCUGUGACUUUAUAACCUAGAAUCGAAAUUCAGUCUUUUGGUGCACCUGAUCCACUGUCUCUUCAGACCACACGCACUGCUUUGAAAUUUAGUACAAGUUGUGACAAGACUGCCAAGAACAAGAAAUCAAGUAUAGGCUGUCUCUGAACUUGGCAAAAUGCUGUCAGAGGACCCCAGGCCUGAAGGUGCCCUGUAAGCCACAUACGGCCUGAGGUUUCUUGGAGCCGGUUAGUCCACUCAGCUCCUCUCCUCCUAGUUCUUCCCACCGCUGAUGAGUUAUCCUUCUUCAGUUUCUACUUCUUGGAAAACUGAGAAACUUGGAAAACUCUGCAGAAUUAAAAUAGCCCAUUCAAGGUCAGGAGGGCAAGCAAGAAAGAGCUGGCAAACGGCAAACUGCCAGACUGGAAAGCCCAAGAGUGUGAGCCCUCUGCCUCUCACUCCCGCCCUCCCAACCCUGCACCCUGGAUCUUUUUUCUUGACAAGUCUCCCAACACAGUUGGAGGAAGACUGUCUUAGGGAGGCAUUGAAGAUUUAAACUCCAGAUUGUCAAAGAACCUUCGAAGUAGGCAAGCCAAACCAUUCCAUGCACUGGAGAGAGAACCAAAGUUCAACCUGAAUGAUUUUAGGGGCUUGCUGCGGGAGCCUCACAGCGUUUGCUCAAAGCCCUCAACCUGGAACAGGUAAACCAAUUUAUACAGGGAGUCACUGGUAGCCUGCAGGCAUUAGAAGGCUGUAGCAGAUUGAAGAUCCUUUAGUAAGACUUUUUUUAAAGGCUGGUGCAAGUCUCACCUCUCAUAGGACUAAGUACGUUUCAGUUAACUGCUGUCUUCUUCUCUAAACGGCAGCAAUACCCCCUUAGCCUUAAACCAACCCCCACCUUCUCUAACCCUGCUGAUGGUCAUUUUCUUGUGACACCCUCUCCCCUAGGGCAUGAAGACAUUUGCAAAGAGCUUCUUCUCUCCCAGGCACCCCUGCUCAGCUCCCUUGUACACACAUGUCUUCUCACACGGACAGGAUGGGAUUCCUCCGUCCCAGACAGCACCUGUGCAGGAAAUUGUACCGGGUCUGCAACAGCAGGAGGCGCCAGGCACACAUGCAGGCACCUACACCUGCCCCUGUGGUAAUACCUACACCCGUACACAGCACCAGCACUGGGACUAAAGCUGCCUUGCCUGGCUUCCUGGAAAAGGAGACAAUCUUGCAGGGCCUUUGGAAACACAGCAAGGGGCCCCACAUCCGGGGAAAGAAAGUGGGAACAGCGUGAGCAACAGGAGGCAGCAGCCAGGAUGAUGAAUACUGCUGGGAAGGUGAAUGAAAUGGACGGCCCAAUCCAGUUCCACCAGUGCACAGCCUUCCCAAAGCCCCUGUGUCUAGUGGUGUGGCUUAUAAGCUGGAGUGAGGAGGCUCCAGACUGGCUCUUGGCUAGUGGACUUUCUGACUCCAGACGUGCUGCGCGGAUCUCUAUAUAAUUCAGCUAGAAGAUGGAAGGGAAGACAGAAGUGUCUCAAGAUACCCGGUCACCCAGGAUUGCCACAGCAACACAUGAAGAAAGGCAUGGAUGAAGGACUGAGCCAGUGGAAGUAAACUUGCAGUUUCAAUCUCUGGCUUUGGAACACCUGGCUUUUGGUUUUUUACUGCAGAGCACCGGGUCAAAGAAGUUCAUCCUCAAAACAAUUCAGCCUUGUACGCUUAACAGAAUCCACAUCACCGGAGCCAUUCAAGAAUACAGCAGAGGAGGUGGAAACAUUGAACUAGAAGAUCAUAGAACAACUUUACCUACAGUUGUAAAAGGAGCGAUUGCGUAGCUAUUCUCUCUGGGUUAGGCAUGAUGACUGCCAUUUUGAAUCACCACAUGAGACCCGCAGGAGACCAGACCUACUGAUAGAGCCUCAUGGUGGAAAGGUGUUCCUCUCACAGGGAGGAACUCUGCUUCCUGUCAUGGUCUUAUAGCAUCUGGGCCAGCCAGGUUAAUGCCGCACCUGGCCUUUGUGAGAGAAUCUGUUUAUGGCAAAGAGACGUGAUUAAUGAGGAAACACAUAUGAUGGUGGCAUGCUCCGCCCUACAUGGGACCACUAUAUCAUCCCCAUCAAGGACCAGAGAACAUCAUCCAGGAGAAGGCAGGAAGAACACAGAAGCCAGAGGAAGAGGUCUAGCUAGAAGAUGUCUUCUGCACUCAAGAACUAACUGAAGUUGCGGCUAUCUGAACAAGACUGCCAGGAGACAGGGUCCAAUACCCUUUCUUCAGGGUUGUGGGAGGGACUCAUAAGGCUCCUCCUCUUCCUGAAGGGCAGGCGGAAGCUAAUGGUUGCCAGGAGACAUGGAGGUCGCUUUUGUCAGUGGUGUGACUGCUGAGAAGAUCCCCUGGCUCCAGUAAAGGUCCCACCCACAUAGAGCUCUAAUGAAACUCAGUGGGUCACCCACAAAGGCAAGAGACAGGAGCACUUGAUAGAAUAUGGGUUUCAGUAGGAAAGGAGUGGGAGUGACACGGGAGAAUGGGAGGUUUAAAAACGACUGAACCUCACUGUAGAAAAGUGUGAAGUUAUCAAACGACAGCAACAGAACGUGUCCACGAGGAAAUGGCAAGACCCAGACAGCCUUCUGUUUAAAAGAGAUAUAUUCUUUACCAUUCAAGCAUCUCUGUGUUUUAAGAAAUCUCCAUAAAUAACUUUCUCAAGUUGCUUUUUAAAUAAAGAUUACCCAGCAGACUUUGAGUUUUUUUCUGACAUGAAUCUGGAGUAAUAAUAUUCUGUCUUAACGAUGAAAUUCAGGCCCCUACUUUUGCUAAAUUCCAGGGCAGCAGAGAGCAAUGAAGGGUUUUC